rnacentral:tRNA from 1 species
GAAUAUAGCUCAGUUGGUAGAGUGCUUGCCUCCAAUGUACAAGGCCCUAGGUUCAAACCCCAGCAUCA